rnacentral:rRNA from 1 species
GAUGAACGCUGGCGGCGUGCUUAACACAUGCAAGUCGAACGAUGAAGCUGGAGCUUGCUCUGGUGGAUUAGUGGCGAACGGGUGAGUAACACGUGAGCAACCUGCCCCUGACUCUGGGAUAACAGCCGGAAACGGCUGCUAAUACCGGAUAUGCACCAUGAACGCAUGUUCUGUGGUGGGAAAGAUUUUUCGGUUGGGGAUGGGCUCGCGGCCUAUCAGCUUGUUGGUGAGGUAAUGGCUCACCAAGGCGUCGACGGGUAGCCGGCCUGAGAGGGUGACCGGCCACACUGGGACUGAGACACGGCCCAGACUCCUACGGGAGGCAGCAGUGGGGAAUAUUGCACAAUGGGCGAAAGCCUGGUGCAGCAACGCCGCGUGAGGGAUGACGGCCUUCGGGUUGUAAACCUCUUUUAGCAGGGAAGAAGCGAGAGUGACGGUACCUGCAGAAAAAGCGCCGGCUAACUACGUGCCAGCAGCCGCCGUAACAC